CCUAGAGGGACCUGGCAUCCAGACCACUUCAUUGAGCUGAAGUGGUCUGGGUGACUAUAGUGUCCCUUUAAGCACAGUGUUUAUAUUAAUAAUAAUAUUCACAUUCAAACUCAUCUCCUGUGAGAUUAUUGUAUCAUUCUUUUGCUUUAUAGUGGAGUCUUUCCCUGACGCGUUUUACUGCUCUUGUAAGUUUCCAGGCUGUGCUUCAAGAGGCUGCUUGAAGUGUAACCAUAAUCACUAAUAAGUAAAACAGACAUGCUGCCAUCAAGUAUGAACUGAACAGAAGGUCGUCACUCAUUAAUACAGAAAGUCAUUGCAUUAGGGACAAAUUCUAGAAAGAUUACAAGCUGUGUCAUACAAGGUUACAUUAAUGUUUACACCAACAAACAUACGUUUGAAAAAAGAAAAUCCAUAGUAGAAUUUUGAGAAAUGUUGUUGAGUACCUAAAAUUGGUGUAAAAUGCCUGAGACCUCAUCUCACAGCCCAUUUUUCUGUAUAUUUAAAAAAAAAAAAGAAUAUGCUCAGGAUGCACACAGUAUAUGAAUGGUUUCAGGGCAUAUUUAUAAGGACUCUACGGACUUCAACGAAAUGAAGUUGUCAUAGUGCCAGGAGGUCCCUGACAUUGGCUUACCUUUUGGGAUUAAGCUGUUCAAGAACGGUUUAACCCCAAAGUCUCUACUCCAGCACUAGGUUGCUUUACCCCCUCCAGCAUCCACUUGCUGAAAAGUUUCAAAACGGAAGCCUAGAACUUCCGCAGACAGGGGAGUCGCUGAUUGCCUUAGAGCAGUGAGCUGAUGCUCUUAACCAGUCAGAGACUGCCUAUUCACAACAGUUUGAAAAAUGUAUAUAUUUUUCCCAAGCCAUUUUUAUGAAUGGGUACCAACAGACUGGCUGAGGCAGUCUUAGGCUUCCGCUUGUUUAAAAGCUUCAAAAGAAUAGAUGUAGGAGGGAGCAGAGUGAUCCAGAGUACAGACUGCAAGAAUGAGCACGUUGCAUUUACAAACAAAUAUAUCAUUGGAAAUAGGAUCUCUUUGACAGCUAAAAAAUUACUUAUCUUCUUUACACCAAUUUUAAUUAUGAGUUUGGAUGUGGAAACA